GAUCAGGUUUUGACACUGCAGAGUAGCACUGGGGGCUGCUCUGUGCUGCGUUGAAGGAAUUGUCCUCAAAAUGCCCACUGGAUGCUCUGGGGCUCAUGUUGGUCAGAGCUGAUGGAGCUGGAAAGACUUGGCAAUUGUCUGGCUUUGAGUAUGCCCGAUUUGAUGAUGCAUAAUGUGUGGAAAGUCUAUGCUCUACUCGUUCUGCUUG
rnacentral:misc_RNA from 1 species